UGUACCUCUCACAUUUUGUUUGAGCUUAUGAAAUCCUGCCUGUAUCUGGAGAGCUUGUUAAUUCAUGGAUGGAAAGAAGUAGGAGGGUAGGAUGUGCUAGGCAGUUAAGCAUUUGAGACCUGCACCCAAGCAUGUGUCACAACUGGGAACAAUUGAUGUUUGACCUGACACAUUUCCUCUGCUGAUGCUCCCACUCCUUUAGGAGGGGGAGUGAAGAAUCUUGCACUCAGGGCCACUGACAGAACCUGAACUUCUUCUAUUUCCAUCAUGCUUUCUUGUUCCUGAGUCUUCAGUGAGCUUCAAGAUUCACAAGGAAGGUUCAGGGUAACAGUGGUCAAAGAAAGAGCUGUUCCUCUAGCCGUUUCAGUCAGCCCAAUGAGCUCUGGGCCACCCAGAUGAGGCAAAAGCCAUCACAUCCAAGAAAGACUCCAGGCCACUAUGUUGCAGACUCAAGUUUGAAGGCAUGCUAAUGGAAGUAUAUUCUCUUUGGAGCUAAUUCGGGUUUUCUCCUCUGAAGUCAUUUCUUUGGGUUGAACCACAAGGAUUUGAUUAUUCAUCAAUUAUUCAAUAAAAUACUUG
ensembl:lincRNA